CGGUGGAGCAUGUGGUUUAAGUUCGAAGCAACGCGAAGAAACCUUACCAGGCCUUGACAUGCAGAGAACUUUCCAGAGAUGGAUUGGUGCCUUCGGGAACUCUGACACAGGUGCUGCAUGGCUGUCGUCAGCUCGUGUCGUGAGAUGUGGUUAAGUCCCAUAACGAGCGCAACCCUACCUUUAGUUGCCAUCAGGUAAUGCUGGGGACUCUAAAGGAACUGCCUACGCAAGUAGUGAGGAAGGCGGGGAUGACGUCAAAUCAGCACGGCCCUUACGUCCAGGGCUACACACGUGCUACAAUGGCCGAUACAGAGGGCAGCUACCUGGUGACAGGAUGCAAAUCUCCAAAGUCGGUCUCAGUUCGGAUCGGAGUCUGCAACCCGACUCCGUGAAGUUGGAUUCGCUAGUAAUCGCGCAUCAGCCAUGGCGCGGUGAAUACGUUCCCGGGCCUU
rnacentral:rRNA from 1 species